rnacentral:rRNA from 1 species
GACGAACGCUGGCGGCGUGCUUAACACAUGCAAGUCGAACGGAAAGGCCCUGCUUUUGUGGGGUGCUCGAGUGGCGAACGGGUGAGUAACACGUGAGUAACCUGCCCUUGACUUUGGGAUAACUUCAGGAAACUGGGGCUAAUACCGGAUAGGAGCUCCUGCUGCAUGGUGGGGGUUGGAAAGUUUCGGCGGUUGGGGAUGGACUCGCGGCUUAUCAGCUUGUUGGUGGGGUAGUGGCUUACCAAGGCUUUGACGGGUAGCCGGCCUGAGAGGGUGACCGGCCACAUUGGGACUGAGAUACGGCCCAGACUCCUACGGGAGGCAGCAGUGGGGAAUAUUGCACAAUGGGCGGAAGCCUGAUGCAGCAACGCCGCGUGCGGGAUGACGGCCUUCGGGUUGUAAACCGAUUUCGCCUGUGACGAAGCGUGAGUGACGGUAGUGGGUAAAGAAGCACCGGCUAACUACGUG